UACGUAGGGUGCAAGCGUUUAAUCGGAAUUACUGGGCGUAAAGCGUGCGCAGGCGGUUUUGUAAGUCUGUCGUGAAAUCCCCGGGCUCAACCUGGGAAUUGCGAUGGAGACUGCAAGGCUGAGAAUCUGGCAGAGGGGGUAGAAUUCCACGUGAUAGCGGUGAAAUGCGUAGAUAGUCUGGAGGAACACCGGUGGCGAAGGCGGCAUCCUGGACCGGCAGUUGAACGGCGUGAGGCGGCGAAAAGCUGAGGG
rnacentral:rRNA from 1 species